rnacentral:lncRNA from 1 species
GUCCUGGAAAUGUCUGAUGCUUCUUAACUCUGUUUAAUCCAGCAUUUCCCAUAAGUAUUUGCCCACAUCCCUGAGGAAUACAUUUUGGGAAUCAGGGAUUGGCCAACUGUAGGUCACAAGCCAAAUCCAGCCUGCCACUGCUAAGCUGAGAAUGGCUUAACCUUGCGACCUAAGAGUAGUUUUUACGUUUUUUAAUGAUUGGGGAAAAAAUCAAAAGAAAGACAUUAUUUUCAGGUUUCCGUAUCCAUAAUAAAUAAAGUUUUCAUGGGGUCACAUAUGUUUGUUGACAUAUUGUUGCUAAUUGCUUUCGUGCUACAGAGGCAGAGAUGAGUAGUUGUGACUGAGACCAUAUGGCACACAGAGCCUAAAAUAGUUCCUGUCUGGUUCUUUACAGGAAGAGUUUGCCCAACCUGGGUCCAGGCAUGGGAAACGGGAGUAGGAAUGUGACGUGGGGGACAGGAUAACUGCCUCCAGCUCAGUGGAGAUGAAAGAAAAGAGGAGAGAAAAAGAACCACAAGAGAAAGCCAGUUCUGAACUGCAACUGCCUCCCAAGAGUCAGGAUCCUGGACCUCCCACGACCUGUAGAACAUCAACUUUGAGUCACAAGGACAUGAGUAUUCAAAUAAAUACAUGGCAUGGUACAUGUUGGGGAAAUAGUAGCUACAGAGUCUUCUGAGUAGAUCCAGCCUUUGCCCACCGCUAAAUAAUCAGAUCCAGGGAAGCAUCAAAAGUCAAAGAAAGGAUGAAGAGAAGUUGCUUCCAGCAACAGUGGGUGGGGCUUUCCAUUUAAAUUCUGCCUUCAACUUCCAAAAAAUAUCCUCUUGGGAAACUUAUUACUCAUGAAAAUGAAGAGAAGGUGUUUUCCUCCAUGGAGCAAUCUCUGCCUUGAAAAGUCUCCAUCCCUCUUCCUAGCCCAGAGAGAUGAUCCCACAAGGAAGUGGAUUUUGUUGCUUAAUCCUAGUUAACUGAAUUCUGUUUUCCCACAAUAAAAUAAUAAAAGUAAUUUGGAAUAGCAUAACCUGAAUGUUCAUAUUUCCACAGCCUGUGAUUAAAAAUUAGAAAUAAAAAAUCUUGAAAUUC